UACGUAGGUGGCAAGCGUUGUCCGGAAUUAUUGGGCGUAAAGCGCGCGCAGGCGGUCCUUUAAGUCUGAUGGGAAAGCCCACGGCUCAACCGUGGAGGGUCAUUGGAAACUGGGGGACUUGAGUGCAGAAGAGGAAAGCGGAAUUCCACGUGUAGCGGUGAAAUGCGUAGAGAUGUGGAGGAACACCAGUGGCGAAGGCGGCUUUCUGGUCUGUAACUGACGCUGAGGCGCGAAAGCGUGGGGAGCAAACGGG
rnacentral:rRNA from 1 species